rnacentral:rRNA from 1 species
UACGGAGGGUGCGAGCGUUGUCCGGAAUCACUGGGCGUAAAGGGCGCGUAGGCGGCCUGAUAAGUCGGGGGUGAAAUCUUGCGGCUUAACCGCAAGGCUGCCUUCUAAACUGUCAGGCUCGAGCACAGUAGAGGCAGGUGGAAUUCCCGGUGUAGCGGUGGAAUGCGUAGAGAUCGGGAAGAACAUCAGUGGCGAAGGCGGCCUGCUGGGCUGUUGCUGACGCUGAGGCGCGACAGCGUGGGGAGCAAACAGG